CCCAGCAACCGCUCCACCCCCGUAUUCUCUUUCUGUUUCUCUUUUUCCCAUCCCCUCCACAAUUCUCGCCACCACCAGAUCGGAGCUCCUCCGAUCCACCCGCCCCCUUCUCAUCGGCGGGAUCCCGGCUGUCGCCUCACGCACGACCCUCUCCUCCACGGCCCAAUCCGCUCGAACACCGCCGCCCUCCUCACUGGCGAGAUCAGAGCCGCCAGCCUCACCCGCAGGAUCGGAGCCGCCGGCCACCGCCCACCUCGCCCGAAGGAUCGGAUGCCACUACUCUUCUACACCGACCCAUCACCGGCCACCGGUGGUCCAUCACCUGCUUCGCCUGACUGAAAAAUCCCUGCGGUGUUUCGAAGAAGCUGUGGGUGGAAAUUCCGGAACCGCUGCGCCGACGGUGGUGUGAUGCCGGCGAUGGGUCCGCUGGCAAUUCAAUAUGCGAGGAUAUCGCUGCCAACUCGAGGGAAAUGAUUUGGUGAAAUAUUGAUUGCGAGGGUUUGGAACCAAGUAACUACAAAACAAUUGGAGCAAAGAUAUUGAUCUACAGAGGCAGUGAAUGGAACUCUAGAUACUCAGCUUUUGACUCUCACUCGAAAAGUUCAAAAGAAUAAUCUGGCAGUGUCAUCUGCUUUGAGUAGCUCAGGAUGGGUGGUUAGAGGAGAUGGAAGGGAAGGCGCAAGAACAUGAUAAGAAGGAUGUUGCACAACAAGAGAAAAUAAAGGAGCUCCAGAUUGCUGUAGAUAAGAUUAUCAGUUUUUACUGGUGGCUGUUAGAAGCUGUAGACAAGUGAUGCAUUUUUUAUUAGAUUCAAGUGAGAUUAUUCAGAUUAGCAUGAAAAGUGCAAAGGAUCGUGCAAAGCUUUGUUAUCAUUUGAUUAUUUCACUAUAUAUUUUGUUCAGUCUCGAUGUAAGCAUCAGGCCUUAACAGGAAAUUUAAUUUGAUUUA